UACGGAAGGUCCGGGCGUUAUCCGGAAUUAUUGGGCGUAAAGAGUGAGCAGGCGGUUGAUUAAGUCUGAGGUUAAAGCGUGGGGCUCAACCCCAUAAAGCCUUGGAAACUGAUCGACUAGAGUACGGGAGAAGUGAAGGGAACUCCAUGUGUAGCGGUGAAAUGCGUAGAUAUAUGGAAGAACACCAGUGGCGAAGGCGCUUCACUAGCCCGAAACUGACGCUCAGUCACGAAAGCGUGGGUAGCAAAUA
rnacentral:rRNA from 1 species